CCCCACUGCUNUCGAGGUGGGACUAAGCCAUGCCAGUCGAACGACCCGGACUAUGGCGGGGAGUGGCAGACUGCUCAGUAACACGUAGCUAACCUACCCUCGGGACGGGGAUAACCCCGGGAAACUGGGGCUAAUACCCGAUAGGUGUGGAUUCCUGGAAUGGUGCCAUGCCUAAACGUAAGCACAUCCAUGUUUGUGUGCACGCCCGAGGAUGGGGCUGCGGCCGAUCAGGCAGUUGGUGAGGUAACGGCUCACCAAACCUUUGACCGGUACGGGCCAUGAGAGUGGUAGCCCGGAGAUGGGCACUGAGACAAGGGCCCAGGCCCUACGGGGCGCAGCAGGCGCGAAACCUCCACAAUUCACGCAAGUGAGAUGGGGUUACCUCGAGUGCCAUCUGAAGAAGGUGGCUUUUCCAUGGUGUAAUGAGCCGUGGGAAUAAGGGGGGGGCAAGACUGGUGUCAGCCGCCGCGGUAACACCAGCCCCCCGAGUGGUGGGGAUGAUUAUUUGGCCUAAAGCGUCCGUAGCCAGCUCGGUAAAUCUCUCGUUAAAUCCAGCGUCCUAAGCGUUGGGCUGCGAGGGAAACUGCCGAACUAGAGGGUGGGAGAGGUCAGCGGUAUUCCUGGGGUAGGGGCGAAAUCCAUUGAUCCCAGGAGGACCACCAGUGGCGAAGGCUGCUGACUAGAACACGCCUGACGGUGAGGGACGAAAGCUGGGNUAGCGAAUCGGAUUAGAUACCCGAGUAGUCCCAGCCGUAAACGAUGCGGGCUAGGUGUUGGGUCGGCCAUGCGCCGCCUCAGUGCCACAGGGAAGCCAUUAAGCCUGCCGCCUGGGGAGUACGGCCGCAAGGCUGAAACUUAAAGGAAUUGGCGGGGGAGCACCACCANGCGUGAAGCCUGCGGUUU
rnacentral:rRNA from 1 species